rnacentral:rRNA from 1 species
CACAGACGAAGCGCAAGUGACGGUAUGUGCAGAAGAAGCACCGGCCAACUACGUGCCAGCAGCCGCGGUAAUACGUAGGGUGCGAGCGUUGUCCGGAAUUACUGGGCGUAAAGAGCUCGUAGGUGGUUUGUCGCGUUGUUCGUGAAAACUCACAGCUUAACUGUGGGCGUGCGGGCGAUACGGGCAGACUAGAGUACUGCAGGGGAGACUGGAAUUCCUGGUGUAGCGGUGGAAUGCGCAGAUAUCAGGAGGAACACCGGUGGCGAAGGCGGGUCUCUGGGCAGUAACUGACGCUGAGGAGCGAAAGCGUGGGGAGCGAACAGGAUUAGAUACCCUGGUAGUCCACGCCGUAAACGGUGGGUACUAGGUGUGGGUUUCCUUCCUUGGGAUCCGUGCCGUAGCUAACGCAUUAAGUACCCCGCCUGGGGGAGUACGGCCGCAAGGCUAAAACUCAAAGGAAUUGACGGGGGGCCCGCACAAGCGGCGGAGCAUGUGGGAUUAAUUCGAUGCAACGCCGAAGAACCUUUACCUGGGGUUUGACAUGCACAGGACGCCCGUAAAAGAUAUUCGGUUCCCUUGUGGCCUGUGUUGCAGGGGGGGGCAUGGGCUGGCCUCA